GAGUUUGAUCGUGGCUCAGAUUGAACGCUGGCGGCGUGCCUAACACACGCAAGUCGAGCGGUAACAGGCGUAGCAAUACGUGCUGACGAGCGGCGGACGGGUGAGUAAUGCUUGGGAAUCUUCCCAGUAGUGGGGAAUAACCAGUCGAAAGAUUGGCUAAUACCGCAUACGUUCUACGGAAGAAAGCGGGGGACCGUAAGGCCUCGCGCUAUUGGAUGAGCCCAAGUCGGAUUAGCUAGUUGGUGAGGUAACGGCUCACCAAGGCGACGAUCCGUAGCUGGUCUGAGAGGACGACCAGCCACACCGGAACUGAGACACGGUCCGGACUCCUACGGGAGGCAGCAGUGGGGAAUAUUGGACAAUGGGGGAAACCCUGAUCCAGCGACGCCGCGUGUGUGAAGAAGGCCUGCGGGUUGUAAAGCACUUUUAGUGGGGAUGAAAAGCUCUGUUCUAACAAAGCAGGGUCUUGACCUAACCCAAAGAAAAAGC
rnacentral:rRNA from 1 species